CAGCAGUCGCCGCGGGAACACGAAGGGUGCAAGCGUUACUCGGAAUUACUGGGCGUAAAGCGUGCGUAGGUGGUGGUUUAAGUCCGUUGUGAAAGCCCUGGGCUCAACCUGGGAAUUGCAGUGGAUACUGGGUCACUAGAGUGUGGUAGAGGAUAGUGGAAUUUCCGGUGUAGCAGUGAAAUGCGUAGAGAUCGGAAGGAACAUCUGUGGCGAAGGCGACUAUCUGGGCCAACACUGACACUGAGGCACGAAAGCGUGGGGAGCAAACAGGAUUAGAGACCCCCGUAGUCCCUGUCUCUUAUAC
rnacentral:rRNA from 1 species